rnacentral:rRNA from 1 species
UACGAAGGGGGCUAGCGUUGUUCGGAAUUACUGGGCGUAAAGGGCGCGUAGGCGGUGUGUCAAGUCAGGCGUGAAAGCCCCGGGCUCAACCUGGGAACCGCGCUUGAGACUGGCACGCUCGAGUUCGGGAGAGGAUGGUGGAAUUCCCAGUGUAGAGGUGAAAUUCGUAGAUAUUGGGAAGAACACCGAUGGCGAAGGCAGCCAUCUGGACCGACACUGACGCUGAGGCGCGAAAGCGUGGGGAGCAAACAGGG